UAUCUCUCCGUACGGGAAAGGAUGAGAAGCUUCGACUAAGGUUCGAUUCGAGCGAAAGCGAGAAAGCGUUGCCAACGGCAACGACCCGAAGGGCGAAGCGCGCAGCGCUGAGUCAACCUUCCCCCACCACCA
rnacentral:sRNA from 1 species